CUUCAUUCAUACAUAUCCGCCUCCUAGGGUUUUAUUCUUCCAUCAUAAGUUUCUGUUCUCCAUCUCUAAAUCGGCUCUCAACUAUCUUCAACAUCAAGGUUCGGCUCCUUAAAGAUCUUCAGAUCAAGGGUUUCUUGAUCUUCAAUUGCUUUCCGGUUCUGAUAGUUAAAUGUCGUCGACACCAAGUAUGUAGCAGGAAGCGGGUUGAAGAUAACGCCAUGGUCAGAAGUCAUAAGUUACAAGAGUGGUGGCGCUGAGAGAUGGUGGAAAAGAUUUGAAUUUGGUUUCAGAAUGGAUAUAUGUGUGCACUGCUAGAGUUGUUCGAUCGAUUUAGAUAUGUACAAUUUACGUUUGAUUGUUAGUGUUUUGUUUAGAUCUAUUAUAUCAUUUGAUCUGGUAGUUUCUCUGACAAGCUUCUGGUAACACAGUUUGAUGUGUUAACCAUGCCGAAGAAUUCAAUAUAUCGCUUCUUAUUUAGUAUAUCAUGACAUCAGUCCUGUAUUUAACUUAAAAUUUAUGAAUAAUUCUCUCUGUUUGUACAGCGGAUAUUCAUCGUUACGGGACCCACAUUGCAACAGAGGUCUGGCCUUCACUAAGAAAGAGAUAGAUGCUCAUUAUUUAGGUGGUCUUCUUCUUCCGGUUGUUGUCAAUCACGAUGUUCAGAUGAAAAUGGAUUCAAAACACAUACCAUGAGGCUUGGAGCUGGUACUAUUGUUUUCUACUUGCUACUCUACACAAGGUGGAAAAAGGUUGCUAAUUUAUCUAUACACUAAAUAUGACCAAUUUCUCAUCACAUUUACAUUAGAUACAUUUCCUUAUAAACGGCAAUAUUGACCCACUUUGAUACUAAUCGAAAAAUGAUAUCAAGCAUCUUCAGGUUUGAAUCCUAUAUUAGUACUGUACCACUGCUUCAUUAGGGAUAAGAGAAGUGGAAAAAGCAUUUAGUGAAGUACUAUGUUUAUUUUUAGAAGCUAUAUGAUGUUCUUAUGUUAGAUUGAUAUUGGAUUGCUACUAUUUGAAUCUGUUUCAGCUAAUAUUCUUAUAGUUUAACCAUUUUUUGGCUAUUCGUUUUAUAAUGAUACGGGUGCAGCAAUUCGUGGACUUCCGCUUUUCAGCAAGGAUACAUUAGAACAUAUUCCUAAGAUUGUUGACAUUCUUGCAUAACUUCUGAUAGCUGACUCAUGGCCUAAGAAAGCUAUUGGAGUGUCUUACAGGCCUUUGUAUCUGUAGGGAAGCAAGAAGGGAUUAAAGGCUAUUGGAAGGGUUAAUCUAUUUCAGGUACCUUUCUUUAUUUAGUUCAUAACAUUACACAUAUUCAGUUUUACAAGGGAAUGUUUUAUAAUCGGUUCAAAUUAUCAUGUUUUAUUUUUUUAAAUUUCACAUUGGUUUUUAUAGAUGGUGGAGGUAUAAUGGCAUGACCGAUUUUCUCUUGAUUAAGAUAAUUUGGGUCCUAUUUACUUGAUACAAAUAGAAAACGAAGACGGAACCCACAAAAUACAUUGUGAAUACAACUGAUAUGAAUGAGUGGCAUAUUAUGAGUUAUAUCCAUGAACGUUAUCGUCCAUUAAAUUUUUUUGUUGGUGAAAUGAAAUAAAAGAAUAAUUAGUGAUUACCUCUGUUAGAGUCAGUUUUAAUUAUCAAUUUUAUUGCUUUGAGAGGAUGGGAUAACUUAAUUUUUCCUAUUUUGAAGAAUAUGAUAGUUUUAAUACCUGAGGCUAUUGAGAUGUUCGUUGCGUGUGGAUGUGAGACGAACACCAGUGACGGUGUCGAAAUACUCACCAGUCUUCCACAUGACUUCUACAAGUAGGUACACAAGUUUUUUUAUGGUAGUUCUCAGGUAUUGACAUAUCAUCAUUUUAUUGGAAUUAAACACUAUUUAGUUGUCACUCCAUAUUUUUAAUAUUCUGAUAUUUAGUGGCAAGUUUUUGGUCAAAUAUUAAUUCCAUACUUCUAUUGUUGUGAGUCUGAAUAAGAAAGACCCGUGUGACCACAAACAAGAGGAUCACAUAGAAACCCUCCUUGAUCAGGUACAUUUUGCAAGCACAUUAUAGUUAUGGACUGUGGGCAAGAUUCAUGGGUUAGGUAACGGGUCAAACCAGGUAUGCGUUGAACGGGGUCAUCAUUAGUAUGGGCCGAAACACUCAAGUUUGACCUUUAACUAUGUUUUGUUUUCAUUUUCAUAACCAAUUAGGGCGUAAAUUGUGACUAUAAAACAAUAGUAUUGGGCUGAAUGGGUCAAACUUGAUACGUGGAACAAUUUCUAUUGUGGGCAAGAUAGGUGAAUUCCAUGUCAAAAUAAGUUUGGGUUGAAUUGGGUUACCAUGAGUAUAGGUCGAAUUGGCCAGUAUGACCCUUCAACCAUGUUUUCUUUUUAUAUUUUUAUAAAUAUAUAAGGCUUAAAUUGUGACUACAAAAACAAUAUAGUUACAAAAAUAGGGUUGCUAAAAAAACAAGCUAAAGAAGCAACUGGUUCUACAAGAAGAAGGUGGUCAGCUAAAACCGAAAAGAUUCUCCGUUUCGAUCACACCAGAGGGGAUUGAAAAAGAUCUGUUUGCCAUGAGUGGUAAAAGGCCCUCAGGUCCAACAAGAAGAGAACCAAGAAGAUGCAGAAUGAUGUUGAUAUAAAGAAAAUACUGUUCUCAUUCCUGGGAGUUGACUCUUUGGAGGUCAUAUGGCACGUUUUUAAACAUUAUUAGUUCAAUAAUAAUUGCUUGCUAAAACUAAAUUGAAGCUGAAAUAACAUUUUAUUUAUUAGUUCUGAUAUAGAUCCGACCAUAGUGGUUUCUGCAUUGUAGUUCCAAGUAUUUUUGCAUGAAAUUUUGGUCUGUCCUUCAUAUGACGAAAUUAAAAGAGAAUAUUGUUGUGAUUC